UACGUAGGGUGCGAGCGUUAAUCGGAAUUACUGGGCGUAAAGCGUGCGCAGGCGGUUUUGCAAGCCGGAUGUGAAAUCCCCGGGCUCAACCUGGGAAUGGCAUUCGGGACUGCAAGGCUGGAGUGCGGCAGAGGAGACUGGAAUUCCUGGUGUAGCAGUGAAAUACGUAGAUAUCAGGAGGAAUACCGAUGGCGAAGGCAGGUCUCUGGGCUGACACUGACGCUCAUGCACGAAAGCGUGGGGAGCAAACAGG
rnacentral:rRNA from 1 species